UACGUAGGGGGCAAGCGUUGUCCGGAUUUAUUGGGCGUAAAGAGCGUGUAGGCGGCCUGACAGGUCCGCUGUGAAAACUCGAGGCUCAACCUCGAGAUGUCGGCGGAAACCGUCUGGCUAGAGUCCGGAAGAGGAGAGUGGAAUUCCUGGUGUAGCGGUGAAAUGCGCAGAUAUCAGGAAGAACACCUAUGGCGAAGGCAGCUCUCUGGGACGGUACUGACGCUGAGACGCGAAAGCGUGGGGAGCGAACAGG
rnacentral:rRNA from 1 species